GAAGAUGUCCAUACAAGAAAUCCUCCCCAGAAGAUCUCAUGGCUCCAUGCUUUGUGUGCCUCCAAGUCCUUUUCCACUGACCACAACUCACUCCGUCUUGCCAGCUGGUGUUUAUUUGUUUCUCCUUGGAUGGAGUAAGACUGUACUGUUGACUACGACUCUUACGCUGAAGAUUUUGGGGUGCAUGUCAUUCCAUGUGAGGCCUAGCACAACGAUUACAACCCUUUAUUUGGCAUGCGUACAUCAAUUGCCUCAUGAAACUACAUUCUCCUUUCUGUUAUAAAUGAAGCCCAGACAAGAUGCUUUAUUCUAAGACACCCAAUGUUCAGGAAGAUUGAUUCUGCCCUGCAGUCAGCAGCCAUCCACACACCUUGCCUGCACUUGCCGUAUACAUCAAAUGACAAUAUAUUUUUAAUAAAGCUCCGUAUUUGCCCA
rnacentral:lncRNA from 1 species